CAACGGAUAAAAGCUACCCUGGGGAUAACAGGCUUAUCUCCCCCAAGAGUCCACAUCGACGGGGAGGUUUGGCACCUCGAUGUCGGCUCAUCACAUCCUGGGGCUGUAGUAGGUCCCAAGGGUUGGGCUGUUCGCCCAUUAAAGUGGUACGCGAGCUGGGUUCAGAACGUCGUGAGACAGUUCGGUCCCUAUCCGUCGCAGGCGUAGGAAAUUUGAGAAGACCUGUCCUUAGUACGAGAGGACCGGGAUGGACGUACCUCUGGUGUACCAGUUGUCCUGCCAAGGGCAUGGCUGGGUAGCUAUGUACGGAAUGGAUAAGCGCUGAAAGCAUCUAAGCGCGAAGCCAACUUCAAGAUAAGAUUUCCCACCGCAAGGGUAAGACCCCAGAAAGACUAUCUGGUUGAUAGGUCGAAGGUGUAAGUGCAGUAAUGUAUUUAGCUUAUCGAUACUAAUAGGUCGAGGACUUGACCAAU
rnacentral:rRNA from 1 species